rnacentral:rRNA from 1 species
UACGUAGGUGGCAAGCGUUGUCCGGAUUUACUGGGUGUAAAGGGCGUGUAGACGGGUCUGCAAGUCAGAUGUGAAAUACCGCAGCUUAACUGCGGGGCUGCAUUUGAAACUGUGGAUCUUGAGUGCAGGAGAGGAAAGCGGAAUUCCUAGUGUAGCGGUGAAAUGCGUAGAUAUUAGGAGGAACACCAGUGGCGAAGGCGGCUUUCUGGACUGUAACUGACGUUGAGGCGCGAAAGCGUGGGUAGCAAAC